UACAGAGGUCCCGAGCGUUGUUCGGAUUCAUUGGGCGUAAAGGGUGCGUAGGCGGCAGAGUAAGUUGGAUGUGAAAUCCUGGGGCUCAACCUCAGAAUUGCAUUCAAUACUGCUUUGCUAGAGAGCUGUAGAGGAGACUGGAAUUUACGGUGUAGCAGUGAAAUGCGUAGAUAUCGUAAGGAAGACCAGUGGCGAAGGCGAGUUCCUGGACAGUUACUGACGCUGAGGCACGAAGGCCAGGGGAGCAAACGGG
rnacentral:rRNA from 1 species